ensembl:lncRNA
CUCGAGUCCCGCUCCCUGCCUGUUUCAUUACGCUAUAGUUUACUAUCGCUAUAUUUCUGUGCUACAGAAAUUAUCUGACAGUUCCAAACUCAAUCAGAAGCUUUUCUACAUUUUAUUCAAGUAGUUUAAUCCAUUUUUAUUCAAGUAGUAUAUUUGCCAUUUGCAAGUACCUAUUAAAAGUAAUAUAUUGGAAUUAUUAUUUGGAGCUCUCUCACAUAUAGUAGGUCUACAUAGUACACAGAGGUAGACAGUAUAACAGUCACAGGGAACAAAUAAAACCUUUAUAAAAUCCUCUAUGACGUCGUGUUCAGCUCCAGGUUGUUUCCGCUGCACAUCGCUGUUAGACACUGCGCUUCUUGUCUGUCUAUAGGCUGUCUCGUCGUUGUUAUUGACGACACUUAUGACGUUUUUAGUCUCACAAUGGAUUCUGAGGACCCCCCUUUUAUUAUAGUGCUGUGAUAAUACAAACAUACAGCCUCCUUAAUAUCUAAACAUAUUAUUUGAAUGACUGAAGACGGAGAGUUCUGCAUGAAAGAUAUAUUUUAUUAUUGUCAGUGACAUGGCACACAACCAUUGGUUGAUGCAAUGUGACGUGUCAUUUGUAGGCGGCCUCGUAGGAUUUCAAUGGGCUGUGCUGCAGAGGAGCUCAGCAUUUCUUCCGAAUCUCUCUCCCCCCUCAGCUAUGCUGGUGUGUUAGGGGUGAAGUUCACAAUGAGAGCCGAGACUAUCGCACGGUGGAAGUAGAGAGACGCCGAUGAAGUGUGUAUCAGUCUUGCUGGUGGCUGGCAGCGACGGCAGAGCAGAGCGUGACAUGCCAGUUGUUUUUCCUGAUGGGAUGUGUUUUCUUGGUCUUGGAUCCACGGAGUGAUGGCAGAAUGUUCCAUUUAUUCUAUGGAUCUUUCUUUCCCGUCUUAUUUCUGCCACCAUGGCAUGAUCCAGAGCAGGGCGGUGUAACUGGGUGAUUCAAAAUCACUGUUAUAGUGAUCGGAAGAGACACGGAGGAUUUUGCAACAAGUGCAAGUAGGAAAACAGUCAUUACACCUUUCCCCUUCAUAAUCAACGCAGUUCUCUCUGGCAGUGUUCAAGCCUCAGCAGCAGUCAAUCGGAGUGUUUCUGGCUGAUUUGUUCUUCUGAUGAUGAUGGUUGGCAGCUCCCUUCUGGUCUCGUUUUACAGCGCAGAGUGUCAGUGAGUAGUGCUGGUUAUAUAGUGACUUGUAUUUCCAUUCACUUACAUCCACGGUUUUAUCCAACCGAGGUCGUUUUAUCCAGCCGGCGCGUUAUAUCCGACCAAGGCCGUUAUAUGAAACUGAGGCCGUUAUAUCCGAACAUGACUAGUAAAUGCAGUGUGAUAUAAUAUUGAAAUGUGAAAUGAAAUACAUUUAUUUAUUAUAUUCUGGUUGGUUUGUUUCCGUUUUAUUCAACAAAGCACCACCUUGUACACAUAAGCAUACAUAGAUACGGCUUCGGUCUGGAAUCGAAAUGAGUCAAACGACUUCAAACUUUGACAACUUUGAAAUAGUAGCCAGGGGAGAAGUUCACUCUGGCACUGAGUUCCUGUAAUGGAGGCUCAGGACGGCUCUGCUUCAUGUAGAGGAAGCCCCUGGAAAUUGAGUACACAUUAAACUUGUUCUUUUUAUUUUUACAUUGUUAUGUUUUCAUACUGUCAUACUCUGCCUCCCUAAAUGUCUAUUACCUCCAUGAACGAGGUGAUAUAAUAUUGAAAUGUGAAAUUAAAGACAUGACUAUAUUCUGGUU